rnacentral:rRNA from 1 species
UGGGGAAUCUUGCACAAUGGGGGAAACCCUGAUGCAGCGACGCCGCGUGAGCGAUGAAGGUUUUCGAAUCGUAAAGCUCUGUCCUAAGGGAAGAUAAUGACGGUACCAUAGGAGGUAGCCCCGGCUAACUACGUGCCAGCAGCCGCGGUAAUACGUAGGGGGCGAGCGGUGUCCGGAAUUACUCGGCGUAAAGGGUUCGCAGCCGGCAUGACAAGUCCGAUGUAAAAGGCGAAAGCUCAACUUUCGUAAGCAUCGGAAACUGUCAAGCUUGCUUGACGGAGAGGCAAGUGGAAUUCCUUGUGUAGCGGUGGAAUGCGUAGAUAUUAGGAGGAAUCCCGGUGGCGAAGGCGACUUGCUGGACUUCAACUUACGCUGAGGAACGAAAGCGAGGGUAGCAAACAGG